CAAAAUGCCAAUCCAAUCUGUCAUUGCUGCAAAUGCAAAACCGUAUAAAAAUGUUGAACAUUUUGAUGCGUUUUUACUCAUUUUACUAAUAUUUAUUAGUAUAUAUAAAAGACAGUGAACAAAGUUACUAUUCGUUAAUUUGACUGUGUCUUUUCCAAGCUUAUGUGCUUGUUUAUCAAAUGUAUUUUGGUACUGGGACCGCUGUUCAUCGUCUCAAUAUUGAUGGGCAUAUACCUGCACGACUACUACUGUCCACAUACAUCAAGGUCUAACAGCGCCCUACCAGCAGAAUUCACAUAUGAGCCAAGGAAGGGCUAAGGAUUUCUUUUUUGUGGCUGCCACGACCACAAUACGAUUUUAGUUUAGAUAUUUAUUUUUAGUAUUAAGUAUCUGUUUCAUACAUGAUUAAAUAAAAUAUUUUAUCUGAUUA